AAUGAGCGGUGUAAGUUGUUGAACUUAUCAUAUGGUUUUGUGUUAAAUAAACCAGGUUGUAUGCAUGAAUUCAAAGGUACACUGUACCAUUAAUUAAUUAAUAACUCAUGAUUUUCUUCUCAUUUUGUUUCAUGUUGUGGAUGCACAUUUGAGAAAACUUCAGUAACAUACUGGUGUUGGGCCAUGCUAGAAACAAAUCAUCCUCUUGAACCAAUUCUCUGGUGUCAGGUUUAUCAGGGUCGCACCGUUGACUUUUACUCCUGUUUGUAAAUUUAAUUGUCUUCAAGAGGCCAAUUUUCAUGUAUCAGCAUUUUUCAUUCAUUCAUUUAAACUUGGUGUUGUCCACUUCAAUUCAUGUGAAGCUUGUAUUGGCUCUGUUAAAAUUUAAAGUAAGUGUAUUUACAGCAAAUUUGUUUCAAUAUGACUUUGGGGAAGUCUCAGAAACUAUUUGAUACCUCUCCGUUGUUCUUUAAUGCUUAAUUCUGAAGAGAAUUUGUACUACAGUGUUCAUGAGCUGACCAAGCAUAGACUCUAAAGGAUAAAGCUCAGAAAGGACUCCAACUUUCUAUUGAAGACAAACUGGAUAAAAUCAUCCUCGCCCUUAACUUGAAAAAUAAUUUCUAUUGGAUUUGGGUCACCAUCACCAUAAAAUAUGUAAAUCGCUGCCUGUAAACGUCGUUAUGAUGAAACUCAUAAUCCCAAGGCUGUCACUUCUGGUGUUAGUUGGUGGCUCCGCAGCAGGCCCCAAAAAAAGGACAAUUAAUCUUACCGUAAGGUAAGAUUCAUAAGUUCGUUGCAUGUCGCUUUUGUUUUUUUUUCUUUUUGUAUUUAAAACAAAAAAAAUUGUUGCUUUUCUGUUGUAAACUAAAUAAUUUCACGUUUCUGUUUUCUUCAAAGUUGUGCCGUUCUGUUGGAUGAAAGACAGUUGUCCUUUUUUUGUUUUUGUAUUACCUUGCUUGUUCAUCUUGCUUGUUUAUCUUGCUUGUACUGCCGCUUAGUCUGGUAUUGACUUGCUUUGCUUUAUGAUGUUGCUUUGUAUCGUACACUUGCACUUUUUUGUUUGUUUGUUAAAACAUAACAAAACAUAAGAGUUUUGCUUUUCUAUUAAAAUUUUGUAAUUGCUUGUACUGCUGCCUUGCUUUGAUUUGGUAUGCAGGUGCUUAGUAUACUUUAAUUUUUUGGUUCCUGUGGAUUAAUUAUCAUGUUAUUUCGAUUGAAUUAUAUUUUGUUGGAGACUUAAUUGUUUUCUUCUACAGGUUUUUCUUUAAUAAAUUAAACUGAUGACAAUUAUGUA